UUAUCUUCUCUUUCUACAGUUGGUGCAUAAUCAUCAUCAUCUCUGUGUUUCUGCUGUAUAUCACAGGUGCUUUCUCUGCUCCUGUGAGGGUCACAGUUAAAGGUUUUGUUGGAGACUCUGCGAUCUUGUCUUGUUCGAUCACUGAAAGUGAGAUUCAAGACAAAAUAGAAGAAUUCAACGUACACUUCAGAGACGAUGAAGGCAAGAAAGUGUGUGACAUCAUUGGAGGUAGCAUAGCUGAAGACCAAGAGCCAAAGUACAAGGACAGAGUCGAAACGUUCCCAGAGGAGUAUAAGAAGGGCAACUUCUCCAUCAAACUCAGCAGUCUUCAGCAAACUGAUGCAAGGAAGUACCGCUGUAGCAUCACAAGGGACAUUACAUCACACGACACAUUUCAGAAAGAGGUCAUCACAGAGCUUCAUGUCAAAGAUAAACCAGAAGGAAAAGGAAACCAUGGAGAACCAUCAUUGAUUGUGUUGUUGAUCAGUUUUCUUUUCACUCACAUUCUGCCGUUUAUCUGAACAAUUAUUUGUUUAGUUUUUUAAGUGUUGCAGGGUUGAGUUUAGAUCUGCUCAAUCAGCCAAAGUACAUUUUCAAGUAUCUUUACAUUAAGAAUUGUCAU